rnacentral:misc_RNA from 1 species
UCGCGGCUUAUCACCGGCAGUCCCCUUAGAGUGCCCAACUAAAUGAUGGCAACUAAGGGCGAGGGUUGCGCUCGUUGCGGGACUUAACCCAACAUCUCACGACACGAGCUGACGACAGCCAUGCAGCACCUGUCUCCGGUCCAGCCGAACUGAAGGGAUCCAUCUCUGGUUCCCGCGACCGGGAUGUCAAGCCUUGGUAAGGUUCUUCGCGUUGCGUCGAAUUAAACCACAUACUCCACCGCUUGUGCGGGCCCCCGUCAACUCCUUUGAGUUUCAGUCUUGCGACCGUACUCCCCAGGCGGCGAACUUAACGCGUUAGCUUCGAUACUGAGAGCCAAGUUGCUCCCAACAUCCAGUUCGCAUCGUUUAGGGCGUGGACUAC